GAUGUAUACGUGCAAAUCACAGGGCAUAUG
rnacentral:piRNA from 1 species